CUACGGGUCGCUGCAGUGGGGAAUAUUGGACAAUGGGGGAAACCCUGAUCCAGCAAUGCCGCGUGUGUGAAGAAGGCCUGCGGGUUGUAAAGCACUUUCGGUUGGGAGGACUGCUUCUAGCACUAAUAUUGUUGGAAGUUGACGUUACCUUCAGAAGAAGCACCGGCUAACUCCGUGCCAGCGGCCGCGGUAAUACGGAGGGUGCAAGCGUUAAUCGGAAGUACUGGGCGUAAAGCGCGCGUAGGCGGCUAGAUCAGUCGGGUGUGAAAGCCCCGGGCUUAACCUGGGAACUGCAUCCGAUACUGUCUAGCUUGAGUACAGGAGAGGAGGGUGGAAUUCCACAUGUAGCGGUGAAAUGCGUAGAUAUGUGGAGGAACACCAAUGGCGAAGGCAGCUCUCUGGCCUGAUACUGACGCUGAGGUGCGAAAGCGUGGGGAGCAAACAGGAUUAGAUACCCGGGUAGUC
rnacentral:rRNA from 1 species